UUUAGUAACUAAAAAGAUAGCCCGAUCAAUUGGAAACCUAAGCUUGAAAAAAGUCAAUUUCUUUUCAGAAAAACAUUUUUACUGUAGCUGUCUGUCUCUUUAUAUGCAUGUAAACGUGGCUUUAUGCGUAUGUUUAUUGUUUGCUUAUGUGUAUACGUAACCUGUUCCUCUAGUACCAAGCAGAAAUAAAAUGGACGAAUUUAUCUUAAAAUCGCAUGUAUAUGAAAGCUAAGAGGGAGUUAAUAGCUAACUAGAGACGCAGUGACGUCACAAGAGAAUCUAUUGUAAAUUGUAAUAUAUACCUUUAUUUUAUCAUAAAUAUUGCUAUAAACAGCAACCUAUUGAGAAUUGACAAUGUCAAUGCGGUGGCUUGUAUAAUCUGACACGAAAAAUGAUGAGACAAGCCAACUACAGUGACGCAGAAAAAUCACCAGCUUCUUAAACAUGACCGAGUCGUUCGUGCUCAGACUCUGAAAAAAUAGUUGGUGGCCUCUAGCGGAGUUGUGUCCCCUAUGACCAAAGAAAGAAACGUUCUCAAGAGCCAGAUAUUGUCAGGACAGCUGAGUUUGUCGAGCAAAUCUAGAAUAACAUUAACAACCCCUGCAAGUCGAUGAGGCUCAUUGCCGGGCACCUCAAUGUCGCAGAGUCCACUGUCAGACACGUGUGCACGAGAUAUCAAAUUUUGGCUAAAACACAUCCCAGCACUGGUCAGAAGGGCUGGUAGGAAGAAUAUAACAACGGUUCUUUUACAUUUGAAGUCAAGAAGUGUCACAUCUGGUCUGUGAAUGUUGUGGAAAACCGGAACGAAAAAAGCAGUGGGAGAAGUUCACCAAUUUUAGGUCUGACGGAGCCCAAACCACUGUAGAUCUAAACAUAGCAGAUUUCUCAAAGGGAAAGAGAAACAUAGACAGAGACAGAGAUAGGGGGAGAAGUG